rnacentral:rRNA from 1 species
GGUUAAGCGACUAAGCGUACACGGUGGAUGCCCUGGCAGUCAGAGGCGAUGAAGGACGUGCUAAUCUGCGAAAAGCGUCGGUAAGGUGAUAUGAACCGUUAUAACCGGCGAUGUCCGAAUGGGGAAACCCAGUGCAAUUCGUUGCACUAUCGUUAACUGAAUACAUAGGUUAACGAGGCGAACCGGGGGAACUGAAACAUCUAAGUACCCCGAGGAAAAGAAAUCAACCGAGAUUCCCCCAGUAGCGGCGAGCGAACGGGGAGCAGCCCAGAGUCUGAAUCAGCUUGUGUGUUAGUGGAACGGUCUGGAAAGUCCGACGGUACAGGGUGAUAGUCCCGUACACCAAAAUGCACAGGUUGUGAACUCGAAGAGUAGGGCGGGACACGUGGUAUCCUGUCUGAAUAUGGGGGGACCAUCCUCCAAGGCUAAAUACUCCUGACUGACCGAUAGUGAACCAGUACCGUGAGGGAAAGGCGAAAAGAACCCCGGCGAGGGGAGUGAAAAAGAACCUGAAACCGUGUACGUACAAGCAGUGGGAGCACCUUCGGGUGUGACUGCGUACCUUUUGUAUAAUGGGUCAGCGACUUAUAUUCUGUAGCAAGGUUAACCGUAUAGGGGAGCCGCAGGGAAACCGAGUCUUAACUGGGCGUUAAGUUGCAGGGUAUAGACCCGAAACCCGGUGAUCUAGCCAUGGGCAGGUUGAAGGUUGGGUAACACUAACUGGAGGACCGAACCGACUAAUGUUGAAAAAUUAGCGGAUGACUUGUGGCUGGGGGUGAAAGGCCAAUCAAACCGGGAGAUAGCUGGUUCUCCCCGAAAGCUAUUUAGGUAGCGCCUCGUGAACUCAUCUUCGGGGGUAGAGCACUGUUUCGGCUAGGGGGUCAUCCCGACUUACCAACCCGAUGCAAACUACGAAUACCGAAGAAUGUUAUCACGGGAGACACACGGCGGGUGCUAACGUCCGUCGUGAAGAGGGAAACAACCCAGACCGCCAGCUAAGGUCCCAAAGUCAUGGUUAAGUGGGAAACGAUGUGGGAAGGCACAGACAGCCAGGAUGUUGGCUUAGAAGCAGCCAUCAUUUAAAGAAAGCGUAAUAGCUCACUGGUCGAGUCGGCCUGCGCGGAAGAUGUAACGGGGCUAAACCAUGCACCGAAGCUGCGGCAGCGACACUAUGUGUUGUUGGGUAGGGGAGCGUUCUGUAAGCCUGCGAAGGUGACCUGUGAGGGUUGCUGGAGGUAUCAGAAGUGCGAAUGCUGACAUAAGUAACGAUAAAGCGGGUGAAAAGCCCGCUCGCCGGAAGACCAAGGGUUCCUGUCCAACGUUAAUCGGGGCAGGGUGAGUCGACCCCUAAGGCGAGGCCGAAAGGCGUAGUCGAUGGGAAACAGGUUAAUAUUCCUGUACUUGGUGUUACUGCGAAGGGGGGACGGAGAAGGCUAUGUUAGCCGGGCGACGGUUGUCCCGGUUUAAGCAUGUAGGCUGGUUGUCCAGGCAAAUCCGGAUAAUCAAGGCUGAGGUGUGAUGACGAGGCACUACGGUGCUGAAGUAACAAAUGCCCUGCUUCCAGGAAAAGCCUCUAAGCAUCAGGUAACAUUAAAUCGUACCCCAAACCGACACAGGUGGUCAGGUAGAGAAUACCAAGGCGCUUGAGAGAACUCGGGUGAAGGAACUAGGCAAAAUGGUGCCGUAACUUCGGGAGAAGGCACGCUGGUGUGUAGGUGAAGCCCCUGCGGGUGGAGCUGAGACCAGUCGAAGAUACCAGCUGGCUGCAACUGUUUAUUAAAAACACAGCACUGUGCAAACACGAAAGUGGACGUAUACGGUGUGACGCCUGCCCGGUGCCGGAAGGUUAAUUGAUGGGGUUAUCCGUAAGGAGAAGCUCUUGAUCGAAGCCCCGGUAAACGGCGGCCGUAACUAUAACGGUCCUAAGGUAGCGAAAUUCCUUGUCGGGUAAGUUCCGACCUGCACGAAUGGCGUAAUGAUGGCCAGGCUGUCUCCACCCGAGACUCAGUGAAAUUGAACUCGCUGUGAAGAUGCAGUGUACCCGCGGCAAGACGGAAAGACCCCGUGAACCUUUACUAUAGCUUGACACUGAACAUUGAGCCUUGAUGUGUAGGAUAGGUGGGAGGCUUUGAAGCGUGGACGCCAGUCUGCGUGGAGCCAACCUUGAAAUACCACCCUUUAAUGUUUGAUGUUCUAACGUUGGCCCCUUACCGGGGUUGCGGACAGUGUCUGGUGGGUAGUUUGACUGGGGCGGUCUCCUCCCAAAGCGUAACGGAGGAGCACGAAGGUUAGCUAAUCCUGGUCGGACAUCAGGAGGUUAGUGCAAUGGCAUAAGCUAGCUUGACUGCGAGCGUGACGGCGCGAGCAGGUGCGAAAGCAGGUCAUAGUGAUCCGGUGGUUCUGAAUGGAAGGGCCAUCGCUCAACGGAUAAAAGGUACUCCGGGGAUAACAGGCUGAUACCGCCCAAGAGUUCAUAUCGACGGCGGUGUUUGGCACCUCGAUGUCGGCUCAUCACAUCCUGGGGCUGAAGUAGGUCCCAAGGGUAUGGCUGUUCGCCAUUUAAAGUGGUACGCGAGCUGGGUUUAGAACGUCGUGAGACAGUUCGGUCCCUAUCUGCCGUGGGCGCUGGAGAAUUGAGGGGGGCUGCUCCUAGUACGAGAGGACCGGAGUGGACGCAUCACUGGUGUUCGGGUUGUCAUGCCAAUGGCACUGCCCGGUAGCUAAAUGCGGAAGAGAUAAGUGCUGAAAGCAUCUAAGCACGAAACUUGCCCCGAGAUGAGUUCUCCCUGAGACUUUAAGUCUCCUGAAGGAACGUUGAAGACGACGACGUUGAUAGGCCGGGUGUGUAAGCGCAGCGAUGCGUUGAGCUAACCGGUACUAAUGAACCGUGAGGCUUAACCUU